CUCAAAAUGCACACCAGUUUAUAGAAAAAAUGAUAAAGUUGAUCUGUUUUUAGGUGUGAAAGUUGUGAUGGGUGACAUCAAGCUUCUCCAGCUGGAAAGAAAAGACAGGAUUGUCACUAUUUCAUGGUCAACAGAAGAGCACCUGAAAUCCUAUCAGCAUGUCUUCAAAGGUGGAAGCAUUUCUGGUCUCUUAGCAUGUUGAUUAACCUAAUGCUAUUAAUCAGACCACAUGUCAAUAAACUUGUUGCUGAAGUUUUUAUAGGAAGCCUCAGAAGUGCACCCUCCGAACUUCUGGCUGUCUUUCCUGACUGUUUAAAAUGAGUUGCUGUAAGGUUAUCCAUAAGGAGUAUAGUGGAGAGAAUGCUGAAUGCAGACCAUAGUGAAUGUGACAGGUUAUCUGCUUGUCCACACAAGUGGAUACAAAGAUACUGCACAGCACAAGCAAUAUCCCUCUUCAAAGAAGAGAAGGAUUCAAGNCUUACUGAAUAACUGGUAGGAGGUUUCCUUUCUGGCUUGUACAGUUUUGUAUUUAUAGAAGAAAUUCUGGUUUCUCUUUCUGUGGUCUGUAUUUUGUAAACUGGAUAAUGAAUUAAUAUUUUUCUGGACUUAAUAUUUGAAUCAGACUUAAAACCUGGAGUGUUACUAAUUAGUACUCAGCUACUGAUAUUUUUCUGCACAUUUUCCAGAUAAUUCAUUUUUCAGCUUUUUUUAUUACAGUAGUUCAUUAAAUGGCCAUCAACUACAUGAAGUAACCAUGAAGUAACUGGUGGGUUACAGAUUUUGACGAUGGAAACAGAUGCUUCAGGCAACCAUCAUUAUUGGCAGCUGAGUUAUCUAGUUAGGCCCAAAAUGGCAUAGAACAUACACAAUGGGGAGGGAGCUUAGAAGCAUUCCACAAAGCUUUUUGCUCACUAUUUCAGUCCACUUGACACAUGCUAUGAUAAUUGCUAUGAUAAUGCAAAUAACUUACUCUGGCAUCUGAUGAUAAGAAGCAUCAAUAAUUACUGCUAAAAUAACCUUUUCAAAGGUAUGUGCUCCUCAGCUGAAGUCUAUUCUUCCCACUAACUCUUUCUGAAUGUUGAUAAACAAUAGAGAUGAUCUGAAAGCAAAUAGCAGCACUGCAGUGUGCUGCCUCAUGUAACUCUCUUACUGUUCUUUCGUCUCGAGAUUCCUAUGUGUGAUUUGCAUUUCUAAUGAAUGUGCAGCACUUGUCCUUAAUGCCCCACUAGACCUAGAAUACAAGAUUGGCUUACAGGAAAAGUUAUUAGUACUUUGUUCCAGAGAUAAAGAGCCCUACAUAGAAAAUCUUUUCCUUUUUUUCUUUUUUUUUUCUUUUUUCCUUUUUUUUUUUUCUCUCUUUUUCUUAUUCUAGUAAUGGCUAUAAAGUUUUUGUUCUGUUUUGGUUUUCUAGUUCUAGAAAUGGCCAUAAAGUCAAACUGUUUGUAAGAGCCAUUUCAGAUGCUCCAAUUCACACUGAUGCUCAAAUAUUCCUCUGCUGUAUGCAGUUAAUGCUUUCCUUGGACUUGCAACAAUUCUGCAUCUAAAGACAGUGCAAUUGCCAAGGUUUGAUCCAAGUGUGACAGCUGCAGAUUUGGACACUGGUCAUUGAUUGAAGCAAGCCCAUGCUGAAUUAAAUAACAGGUCUGGCUGAGCAGUCAUUGAAUUAUAUUGGUGAAGUUUCCUUCCUUUCAUAUUUAAUUUCUGGUUUUUUUCCAACAAAUAGACUUCCUGUAUUUUGCAGUGUGUUUGAGGCACACAUUAUCUUUUUAAGAAUUAUAUUCUUGGCUAAUGUAGUACCAGAAGAGGUACAGCCACUUGCCUGCAAAGCAGAAUGCAUCUUGCAUUGCUGGCAUCAAUCUAGCCCUCUGAGCCAUAGGAUCUCAAAAUGCUGCAAUUAUCCCAUCCUCCAAAGAGCUUCUCUAGGAGAAUUUAAAUUAAAAGAAAUAUACAAUUUUAAAGCAAAGAGGGGCAACGGCACCUGUUUUUUUCCUUAGUUGUCUUUCAAGGAAAAACAUCUGGAUAGCUGGUUAAAGCUGCUAACAAUUUGAACUACUGGCUGAGGUCAUUCAAAGUCUCUUAAUAGAUAUAAUGUACCCUUAAUUUGGAUGUCAGGAGCUUAGGUCUCAGAUAUGUGGCAGUUAAUGAGCUGUGUUCAGGAAGAUCCACAAGUGAAUUGGUCUUGCUGCCAGUAGUAACCUUCUGGGAGCUAUUUUACACCUGCUGCUAAUCAUUCAUACAUGUGGAACAGACUUCAGAACAAGCCUGAGCAGGAAGAUAAAAGACUUGAUUUAUUGACCUGUUUUCUCAGUCUUAUUGAAGUGAAUUUUAAAAGUCUUCCAGUUAUUAAUCCCUGUAAAUUAACUAGUAUGGAAAUUAUUUAUAUUUGGACACUGAGAUAGAGAUGAAAGCUUAAGAGUGGCUCUUUAACCUUUGAGGAGACCCUUAUAUUUAGUUGCCUGCAUUAACUCAAUGAUCAAUCUCUUGUUCAAUUUCCUGUUUCAGUGGAGUCCAGGAAGGCGACUGGCAAUUUAGCAGCACUGAUUUGUGUGGGUGAUUAAGAGCAUAGGACUGCAGUGCUGAUAUGUCUUUCUAUAAACUACAACUACUAUAAAUAAACUCAUUCAAAAAUAUAUUCA
ensembl:lncRNA